AACAGUUGUUACGGAGAUUUAAGGCGAAAGCAGUUGCAUGCAAUUCACUAACAGCUGUGCCUGACUAAGUCCUCCGGGUUCUUGUCCUUCCUUUAUUUUUUGUUAGAUACAUUGGAAAUCUUCUAGAACUGCCGGCUUAUUUGCUUCACGGUGUCUAGUAUUUGAGAUUAAACGCCGUCAUACCCUGUUUUUUCAGGCCUCUGCAUUUGUUUGGUGACGCCUCACCGAAGCUUUUUCGGAAUACUAUUACUAGAAAGCUCUUGCAAAUUGCACUAUAUAAUCUUAUGGAAUCUUAUCGCUCUCGACCUUGUUUUCUCCAUCACUGAGUCCUCACAUAGCAGAAUCUUAAUGUCCCUGCUCUUACUGAUUUUGUGCCAGUUACUGUACACAAGGGAAUUUUUUUUUUUUUGAAGUUAAUUUUAUUCGUCAAAGGAAGGCUUUUCAUCUUUUUUCUGCAAAAGAUGGGCGCAAAGAGCUUGUUUAUGUCUUGUAGCCUCUUUUCUUCUAGACUGUAGUAAAGAUUCUAAAACCCAGAUGAUUUUUAAUUUCUUACCUUCUACUUCUGCGCUAAACUAUAGCAGGGCUUGGUGGCCUCUGGACGUGGGUUUUCUAUCUUUCCUGAUGAGUUCUAUUAUUUAUAUUAGAUGCCAGAGUACCUGUCUAAAUGGAAUUAUUGUUUUCCGGACAGCUUUAUAGCUCUGAUUGAAGGUUAUCAACUAAACGUCUCUUGCUCAUCGUGGUGGUUGGUAGAAGCGGCGGAAAACACUAUAUUCGUGGAAACUGGUUUGCGAAGUCUAAGUUUUACACGAUUACUGUAAAAUUUUUAGCGCGUAUUUCAACGUAUCAAUGGACUAGAAACCUUAUUGUCAUUUUGCUCCCUAACUCUUUCGGUGCACCGACUUUUACCCGCUCUACUUCGAUAGAGGAAC